GGAGGACAGUGAGAAGGUCAGCUGUGAAAUGUGUGAUCGAUUCGAGCGCAGACAGUGAAUCCUGCAGACAUGUAUUGGGUCCCUGAGCUCUAAGUGGUCUUCUGAGCACAGACGGUGGGAUGGUGGUUGCAGGGGAGCAACUUCAUGUGUGUCCCAGGAACGAGUCACUUCUGCUAACGGCACGUCAGAAUUUUUAGCAGAAGCCCACAGCGCCCGUGUUGGGGUGCCUUGGAAGGAUGCUGUCCCGCUUGCCUUUCCCGGGGUAUGUGAGGGGUUAACCCCAGAGGACAGACCCAGCGUGUUGUGUUGCCCACGUCCUUCAUCUGCAGAACCCUGCGGUGGAUGGGAAUUCCUUGGAUGGAGCCGCUCCAUGAGCAGGUCACCAGGGAUCCCUUAGGCUCCAAAGUCACGGAAAUGUGGAGCUGGAAGUCUGGUGACUGACAAAUAAGUGGGCAGAAAGAAUGUGUAUGCCUCUGAAGAUUAUCUAUUUUAAAAUACUUUCCUGGCUCUAUUGGUAGUUUAGAAUUUAAACUAGUCUCAUAUUUGCUAUUGAAAACAAUUUUUGACAGAAAAAAUACAUUUUGAA